UACAGAGGUCUCAAGCGUUGUUCGGAUUCAUUGGGCGUAAAGGGUGCGUAGGCGGCGCGGUAAGUCGGGUGUGAAAUCUCGGAGCUUAACUUCGAAACUGCAUUCGAUACUGCCGUGCUUGAGGACUGGAGAGGAGACUGGAAUUUACGGUGUAGCGGUGAAAUGCGUAGAUAUCGUAAGGAAGACCAGUGGCGAAGGCGGGUCUCUGGACAGUUCCUGACGCUGAGGCGCGAAAGCGUGGGGAGCAAACAGG
rnacentral:rRNA from 1 species